GACGAACGCUGGCGGCGUGCCUAAUACAUGCAAGUCGAGCGAAGUUUUUCUGGUGCUUGCACUAGAAAAACUUAGCGGCGACCGGGUGAGUAACACGUAAAGAACCUGCCUCAUAGACUGGGACAACUAUUGGAAACGAUAGCUAAUACCGGAUAACAGCAUUAACUGCAUGGUUGAUGUUUGACAGUUGGUUUUGCUAACACUAUGAGAUGGCUUUGCGGUGCAUUAGCUAGUUGGUGGGGUAAAGGCCUACCAAGGCGACGAUGCAUAGCCGACCUGAGAGGGUGAUCGGCCACACUGGGACUGAGACACGGCCCAGACUCCUACGGGAGGCAGCAGUAGGGAAUCUUCCGCAAUGGGCGAAAGCCUGACGGAGCAACGCCGCGUGAGUGAAGAAGGAUUUCGGUUCGUAAAGCUCUGUUGUUAGGGAAGAAUGAUUAUGUAGUAACUAUACAUAGUAGAGACGGUACCUAACCAGAAAGCCACGGCUAACUACGUG
rnacentral:rRNA from 1 species